rnacentral:rRNA from 1 species
UACGUAGGUGACAAGCGUUGUCCGGAUUUACUGGGCGUAAAGAGCGCGCAGGCGGUCGUUCAAGUCGAGUGUGAAAGCCCCCGGCUCAACUGGGGAGGGUCACUCGAUACUGAUCGACUCGAAGGCAGGAGAGGGUAGUGGAAUUCCCGGUGUAGUGGUGAAAUUCGUAGAUAUCGGGAGGAACACCAGUGGCGAAGGCGGCGAUCUGGGAAGAUAUUGACGCUGAGGUGCGAAAGCGUGGGGAGCAAACAGG